rnacentral:tRNA from 1 species
AAGAAAGGAGCACAGUUGGUGGUGUCGUUAGCUUGAAACUAGUAGGAGGGGGUUCGAGUCCCCCCUUUCUUG